rnacentral:lncRNA from 1 species
CGGGGCUCACUCACUUACAUUAAUUUCAGAGAUAAUAUUUUGAUAAACCAAAACCAAACGUUCAAAUCUUUUACAAUACCAAGUUCAAUAUAAUAGCCUCAACCAUAAUAUGAUAUUAAAGGAUUUACAAUCACAAAAGUUUUCACGUUAACUCCCUAAGAUCCCUCGUUCAUUCCCUGACCACCAACUCCUGUAAGGAAAACGAAACUAAAGUGUUGAGCUAAAGCUCAGUGAGGUUUCCAUGCAAGCAAUAAUCAAUAAGCACUUAAACCAGAUAAGCCAAUAACAAAAUUAAGCAACUAAGGAACACUUCACUGAAUAAAGUAAAGAACACUUCACUGAACAAUCACUUUUAAAAAGGAUACGGUGCUCGCAUUAGAGCCACUUCCUUCUGGGAAUCAUUUUAAUGUCAUUGAGCAUUCAUUUUAGUGUCAAGAGAUACUCAUUUCAAUAUCAUUGAACACUCAUUUCAAUGUCAUUGUACAUUCAUUUCAAUAUCAUUGCACACUCCGCCAAUUCAUCUCCAUAUGUCCUCCAAAACAAUAAACAAUCUCCUACAUUCAGUAAUCAGUUCAAUAAUCUCCCAACUUUAGGGUAAUACUCGAGUAUACCGAAACUGUGACGCCCCGAAAAAAAAUGAGUUUGAGAACCAGGAAAAUUUCUAAUUUUCUAGGGUUUAUUUUUUUUUAACGCCCGCCUUUUCUACAUUUUCUUGAUUAGAAAAAAUUCCCCAAAUAAAGUUUAUGAGCAAAGAUAGGUUUAAAAUGAUUUUUCUAGUAUCGGUUAGUUUUUGAGAAAUUGAAAGCGUAUUUUGGACGUGGGACCCACUAGUGCGGUAAAUGCAUUAUAUUUUUGACAACUUGUUGGAAUUUUGUAUUAAGUGAUAUUAUUUUAAAAGGUGUUAAGAUAUUUGUAUUGGAGAGACAAAAAGAUAAGUUUUGAACCAAAAGGUGACAAGUGUCACCUUGUGAUUUAAUCUUGGACUUUGACCAUUUGACUUUACCUUUACCUUUACCAAAUAAGUACAAAAAAAUUGAUCAAAAUAAGCUUCAUUUUGCAAGCUUCUUGGCCGAAUGUUCUUGCUCAAGAAAGAAAGAAAAGCUCUCAAUUUCUUCCUUCUAUUUCUUGCUCAAUCUUCAAAUCCAACCAAUAAAACUCCAAAUUAUUCCAUAAAAUCUCUUUGCUAAGUGGUCUUAAGGUGUUUUGUGGAGUUGUUUGGAAAGCUAAGGUGACUAGUUGCUCUAUCUCUUGUAUUGUUAAUGUGAGUUGUGAAGAACCACUCUCCUUCCUUAAUUGAUGCUUAAAUCAUGAUUAGUGGUGGUAUAAGAUGCACUUUUAUGGAUUAUAUCUUGCUUUUGCUUGAAUUGGUGAAGUUUUGUAAUUUUUGGAGAUUUUUCUGUUUUAAUAUAAGUAUGAUGGUGUGGCUAUCUAUGAUGAUUGGAUAUGGUUUCUAAUGACUAUAGGAGGUGGAAAAAGUGGACAAUUGCAAUCAAUUUCUGUUUUGGAAGAAAUCUGGAAAAUUAGGGUUCCUUGGUUCUUCAUUCUGUCCGAAAUUUUAGGUCAUAGAUAGAGGCCGAAUUGGCCUUUGCUUAAAACAUGAAAGUUGUAGGGAAUGACAUUUUAGAGGUGUCUACAAAAUUUCAGGUCAAUCGGAGUAGCGUAGAGUGAGAAAAGUCGAAAUUACUAUUGCUGUUCUGGUUUACCCGAAAUUGGGAUUUGCGACUGUAAUUGGUUGUUUUGGCUGGAAUUGCUUCCGAAUUGGAUGUUGAGGCCUUCUGAUGAAAUUUACCCCUGUUUCUUAGCUAUCAGCUGGUUUUAGAAUUUCUGGAUUUGGACUUGUAUAGCCUGAUUUAUGAUGUUUCCGCUAGAAUGAGUUCUGUGAAGCUGUUUUUGUGAUUCUGGUGUAGUUUCUUGUGUUUUUGACCUGGUUACACUCGAAACUGGGUUGAGUGACCUUCUGUAAUAGUGUAGCCUUAUCUCUUAGCUUUGAAACGGUGGUUCUUGCACCUUCAUCCGACAAUCGUAGUGCCUUUGGUACCAUUACCGCAAAAUGACGUCAAAACUGUUUUUCUGGUUUUGAGCUUAACUUUCAUUUCCGAACUUUUCCCUAGCUUGACUUGUCUUUGUACUACUUGGAGCUUGCUGAAUGACUAUUGGAUGAACUUGUUGUUGUGUGUGUACCUUUGGGACUGGUUGAGGAAAUAAUGAAGCCAUGAUGGCUGGAAAAGUAAGCAAAUUUAGGGGAAGUGCUGUCCGAACUUUUAAAGGACUUGUUUGCAUUGAGUUUGUGAUCUAAGACUUGGAUUUGAGCAAGGCAAUGAUAUAUGAUGGAUGGUUUCUGAGCCAUGGAGGUGAGUGACCUCAAACUAUUUCUGAAGUUAUUUAUGAACUGUUUCUUGCAUUAUUUACUUUUGAGCUGUUUCCAAAGUUACUUUUGUACCGUUUUCUUGCAUUAUUUACCUUUAAACUGUUUCCAAAGUUACUUUUGAACUGUUUUCUUGCAUAUCAUGCGUGCUUGCAUGUGAGGGUUCUAUAUACGUUUUGUUUCUAUGACUAUGAGAAUUGUUGUGACUAUGUGAUUAUUUGUGAAUAUUUGAUCAAAUGAUAAUUGUUUUCUAUGAUUUCUAAAAUGAACUUUUGCUAGGUGAGUGUGUACUUUAUCGCACUCGACCUAAAUAAAUAUGAAAUUUUCGGUGAUUAAAUAUUGAAAUGCUAGUUGCGCAUGAAUGUAAGCCGUUUGGCUGAACUGGCCACUGCCCUUCGUUACCGAUCGACUCGAGCCAGAAGCGGACUCGGUCGGGCGAUAUGGUGACCCUGGGUGAAUUUGGUAUACUCGAGUAUUACCUUGUAGUCCGGCUACGUCCGGAUGGGUGGAGUCCGGCCAAUGGUCGGAUGGGCGGAGUCCGGUCAACGUCCGGAAAGGGGAUGAACGAACAAAAGGAUGAACGAGGGAUUUUACUUACAAAAAUGUAUUUUAAACGAUUGGAGGAAUAAGGGGAAAAGUCAGGGAAACGAACAAACAAACAAAUAACUCUAUGUGGGCCGGUAUCCUUUUCAUGAAUGUUACUAUCGCUUUCCAUUGUAAAUGUUUCUUGAAUUAUUGAUACUCCGUAUUUAAUGUAUUGUACAUUGUUUCUGGACUUAUCAUUUGAUUUAUGACAUCAUUGAUUUAUGACAUCAUGGAAAUGAACUAUUGUGAAACCGAUUUGAUUACUGAUUUUUCUGGUUACUCGCUGAGCUUCUAGCUCACCCCAAAAAUAUUUUAUUCCCCUCCACAGGGCUCAAGGCGAAGGAAGGACUUGUUGUGCUUAUUCACGUGACUGGAUGGCUUAUAUCUUGUAUAAUUUGGAUUUGGAAUCAUUUGAUGUAUAGUUGGGAAUUGUUUCCGCUUCGCUUAUGACAUGUAAUUAUUGGAGACUUGGAUGUAUGUUUGUGGACCAUGUGAUGUAUAUUUGAGAUUUUUAUUGUAAUAUAUUUGAGAAUUGUAGUGAUCGACUGAGUCCCGGUGAGAGUUGGGCAGGCGGCCCGCCGAACCCUCUGGUUCGCCUUAGGGGGAGGUGGGGUCGUCACAGAAACAGUUACCCAAAGCUUCCGUCCUAUCCGACCAAGCCCUUUGCUGGCUCGAAUAGUCCGUUGAACAAAGGGUUUUGGGGCCCAGUUCAGCCGAUGUGGUAAAGUACACAUACGGCUUACAUUCAUGCACACUUACAAUAACAUUUGGUCAAUUAUCAACCUUCAAACUCAACUAAGUCGGGUGCGAUAAAGUACAGCCCCGACUUAGAAGGCGAGGGACAAUUGAGAUACACUUUACAAUGAAUCACUAGCAAUAUUCCAUAAUAAGCACAUGUAUCACAUAAUUUCAAUUAAGUAAACAUAAACAGUUAAACACACCAUUUGGAAACACUCACCAAAUACCCAAAUAAAUUACUCUCGAGUCUUGUGUUUGUUUCCUGACUCACAGCUACUUCCUGAGACAAGUUCAUAAUUCCAAAGUAAAUAUAUAAUUUGUAGAUGUUCACUUAUUAUUUAUUAUCCUAUUAUUUAAAUUAUUAGAACCAAGUUUGACUUUAAAUUAUUAAAUAUAAUAUAUUCAAUAUUUAUUCUACAUUUCAUUUCGAGACUUAUUGACUUUAUCAUUUUAAACCAAGAAAUAUACAUAUUUUUCAAGUUUAUAAUUUAUAAAAUAUUUAAAUUAUUAAACCAUUUUCCACUCAAGAGUCUAAGAUUAAAGGUUAGGAACACUCCAUUGGUCCCCUUUUAACUAAUUAACUUUAAGCCAUAUGUAACUUAGAUUUUAUUUGUCUACACUAGUCCUUCAAGUUCUAAAAUCUUUAAAUGCUUGUGAGGACAAGAUUAGGUGAUUUGAAGCCUUGUUAUGUAUAUAGCUAUAACGAGUUAUUUUAGGGUUUCCAAAAAUGUCAUAGAAAGAUUAGCUAGCUACCGUUUUAGUCAAUAUCUAAGUUUCAGCAAUGUACUUCAUAAAUUCUGUUAAUAUUUCAUCUUUUGCUUGGCUAAAUCAUUAAACACUUGAUAUUUAUUCUGUCCCUGCCUAAACUAGAUUAAUCAACAUGUAUUAUCAACACAUAAUUCCAGCAAUUCAUUCCAUCAAACAUUUAUUCCUCCAACAAUGUAGUAGUUUGGAUUUCCGUUUUUCCUUCCUAGUUUUAGCUAGAAUUUUCUAAGGCUUUAUCAGCCUUUUAAGUAUUAAAAGUCAAUAGGGUGCACAUGAGAGCAGGGACAAGAUAUUACACAAUGUUUUACUCAAGAUGGCAGCUGAUUAUCAUGAAAUUUUCAGAGACUACAUCUGAAUUUUAGCUUCUCUCUGCCAUUAGACAAGCUCCUAGCAACAUUAUUUUAGAGUUUUAGUGGAGCUUCCCUCGUUUACUUGCUCGAAACAUCAAACCCAUGACACACAUUCUGUUCAACAUGAAUUAAGGUCGUUGUCUCAAAAUUUCAACAGGUAAUUCGAUCAAAUUCACCAACAAAACUGCUAUCAGCUUUUCAUCAGAAUUCCCUCCAUUAAUUGUUUCAUUAUGUGUUCUAAUUUAACAUACAUGCUGGAACUAACAUGUUAUACUCUGUGUUACACUUCAAUGUAAAGGUUUGGAAUCAGAUUUCUUGAAGAAACCUGCAACGGUUCCUAAUUCUUUCUCUCGGCUGCAACCAUAAGUUUCCAGUAGCAACGGCAGCCUUUCGUUUGACAUUUCUCAUUAGUUCUGUUUCUGGUUUAUGUCCUAGCUGAUCCUGCAAAGGAUACCUAUUCAACUGCAGAUCAUCCUAGGCUAAACAGGACAGUCCAUGAUCAGAAUUCAAAAGGAAAUAACUGAGUUAUGCCUCAUCUCUGCACUUAGCUGCAAAUUUCAAAUCUUCACUCUCGAUUUCUGCAAUUUUCUUCCUAAUGGCUUUUCGGUUGCUGCACAGAAUUUUCCUUCAGCCAAGAACUCAUUUUUCCUAGCUAAAUUCAACAUGCUGCUGGUGUUUAUCCAAUUAUACCAACUAAACAGCGAGUUGUUAUAAGAUCUUACCUGUUCCCCUUAAAGUUCGAUGUUGCAGGCUGCUCAAGUUUCUGUUUCAGCUAUUCAAUUCCUAACACUCGAUUCUCCCGUUUUCCUUGCAGUACCCUUGCUUGCUUUUGGUUAGCGAGUGAUGGAGCUGCCAAGCUUUCCCUCCCACUCUCACACUCAGUUCUAUACUCUCAGUUCUGGUCUAGAACGGAAGAAAGAAGAAGAGACAACUGUCUAGUUCAUUGCUGUCUACUUAAAAGACUCUUUUACCUUUUUAGUUCUCUACUUAGAAGACUUAAAGACCAGAAGAGAAUUAUACUACUCGGUGGUCAAUUUUUCCAAUCGGUGG